rnacentral:tRNA from 1 species
GCCCCAGUGGCCUAAUGGAUAAGGCACUGGCCUCCUAAGCCAGAGAUUGUGGGUUCAAGUCCCAUCUGGGGUG